rnacentral:rRNA from 1 species
GACGAACGCUGGCGGCGUGCUUAACACAUGCAAGUCGAACGGUGAACCUCUUCGGAGGGGAUCAGUGGCGAACGGGUGAGUAACACGUGGGCAACCUGCCCCCGGCUCUGGGAUAACUCCAAGAAAUUGGGGCUAAUACCGGAUGUUCACCGCUUCCCGCAUGGGUGGUGGUGGAAAGGGUUUCCGGCUGGGGAUGGGCCCGCGGCCUAUCAGCUUGUUGGUGGGGUAGUGGCCUACCAAGGCGACGACGGGUAGCCGGCCUGAGAGGGUGACCGGCCACACUGGGACUGAGACACGGCCCAGACUCCUACGGGAGGCAGCAGUGGGGAAUAUUGCGCAAUGGGCGGAAGCCUGACGCAGCGACGCCGCGUGGGGGAUGACGGCCUUCGGGUUGUAGACCUCUUUCAGCAGGGACGAAGCGCAAGUGACGGUACCUGCAGAAGAAGCACCGGCCAACUACGUG